rnacentral:ncRNA from 1 species
UUUAUAAUUUGCCAAACCUAGCGUGAGCCUGGGACGGAAAGCUUCAGCUGUUGAACUUAACAGGGCUGGGCUGCAUGA